rnacentral:rRNA from 1 species
AUGAACGCUGGCGGCGUGCCUAAUACAUGCAAGUCGAGCGAACGGACGAGAAGCUUGCUUCUCUGAUGUUAGCGGCGGACGGGUGAGUAACACGUGGAUAACCUACCUAUAAGACUGGGAUAACUUCGGGAAACCGGAGCUAAUACCGGAUAAUAUUUUGAACCGCAUGGUUCAAAAGUAAAAGACGGUCUUGCUGUCACUUAUAGAUGGAUCCGCGCUGCAUUAGCUAGUUGGUAAGGUAACGGCUUACCAAGGCAACGAUGCAUAGCCGACCUGAGAGGGUGAUCGGCCACACUGGAACUGAGACACGGUCCAGACUCCUACGGUAGGCAGCAGUAGGGAAUCUUCCGCAAAGGGCGAAAGCCUGACGGAGCAACGCCGCGUGAGUGAUGAAGGUCUUCGGAUCGUAAAACUCUGUUAUUAGGGAAGAACAUAUGUGUAAGUAACUGUGCACAUCUUGACGGUACCUAAUCAGAAAGCCACGGCUAACUACGUG